rnacentral:rRNA from 1 species
UACAGAGGGGGCAAGCGUUGUUCGGAAUUACUGGGCGUAAAGGGCGCGUAGGCGGCCUUCUAAGUCGAACGUGAAAUCCCUGGGCUCAACCCAGGAACUGCGUCCGAUACUGGAAGGCUUGAAUCCGGGAGAGGGAUGCGGAAUUCCAGGUGUAGCGGUGAAAUGCGUAGAUAUCUGGAGGAACACCGGUGGCGAAGGCGGCAUCCUGGACCAAUACUGACGCUCAGGUGCGAAAGCGUGGGGAGCAAACAGG